UCCCUUCUGAAAAGCACUUGCUGGGUCUGCUUUUCCGUGGCCCAGGGAGUUGUCGUAGAAGGGUACAGCAAAGGCACUGCUUUUGGGUGAGGUGGUAGCUUGUGCUGUUCUGCCUCAAUCGGUGGUGUCACAGAU
rnacentral:snoRNA from 1 species